rnacentral:rRNA from 1 species
AACGAACGCUGGCGGCGCGCCUAAUACAUGCAAGUCGAGCGAGAAGGUGUAGCAAUACACUUGUAAAGCGGCGAACGGGUGAGGAAUGCAUGGGUAACCUACCCUCGAGUGGGGAAUAACUAGCCGAAAGGUUAGCUAAUACCGCAUACGUUUCCGGAACUUCGGUUUCGGAAAGAAAGCAAUACCGUGGGUAUUGCGCUCCUGGAUGGGCUCAUGUCCUAUCAGCUUGUUGGUGAGGUAACGGCUCACCAAGGCUUCGACGGGUAGCUGGUCUGAGAGGACGAUCAGCCACACUGGCACUGCGACACGGGCCAGACUCCUACGGGAGCAGCAGUAAGGAAUAUUGCGCAAUGGACGAAAGUCUGACGCAGCGACGCCGCGUGGGGGAUGAAGGUCUUCGGGAUUGUAAACCCCCUUUCGGGAGGGAAGAUGGAGUGGGUAACCACUUGGACGGUACCUCCAGAAGCAGCCACGGCUAACUUCGUGCCAGCAGCCGCGGUAAU